AUGGAAAAAAUACGCUCACAUAUAAUAGAAAUUGGAAUGAUACAGAGAAGAUUAGCAUGGCCCCUGUGCAAAGAUUCCUAAGCAUUCCAUGCUUUU
ensembl:snRNA U6 U6 spliceosomal RNA